AGAGCAUGUGCAGAAAACAAGCUCAUAAUCGACACACACCUAACAGAGUAACAGACACCAAACAACGCCCAUCACUCGCGCCGUACAUCCUGCCUCCUCCCGCGCGCGCGCGCGCGUGCACGCUAGCUAGCUGCCGGUCGCCUCGCCACCAUGGUGUUCGACGCGAGCGGCAGCAGGUCGGCGGCGGCGGCGUCGGGGAACCCUCUCCGCGUGAUCCUGACGCGCGGGUUCGCGCGGCAGGUGCUCGCGGGGCGGUGGUUGACGGUGUUCGCGAGCCUGCUCAUCAUGGCGUCGUCCGGCGCGACGUACAUCUUCGGGAGCUACUCCGGCACGCUCAAGUCGUCGCUCGGGUACGACCAGCGCACGCUCAACACCGUGUCCUUCUUCAAGGACCUCGGCGCCAACCUGGGCGUCUUCUCGGGGCUCAUCAACGAGGUGACCCCGCCGUGGGUGGUGCUGGCCAUGGGCGCCGCCAUGAACCUGUCCGGGUACCUCAUGGUGUACCUGGCCGUGUCCGGGCGCACCGCGCCGCCGCCGCUGUGGCUCGUGUGCCUCUACUUCUUCGUGGGCGCCAACUCGCAGUCGUUCGCCAACACCGGCGCGCUGGUGACCUGCGUCAAGAACUUCCCCGACAGCCGCGGGGUGGUGCUCGGCAUCCUCAAGGGCUUCGUCGGCCUCAGCGGCGCCGUGUACACGCAGCUGUACCUGGCCCUGUACGGCGGCGACGACGCCGAGUCGCUGAUCCUCCUCGUCGCCUGGCUCCCCGCGGCGGUGUCCGUCGUGUUCGUCCACACCAUCCGGUACAUGCCGUACCCGCGCCGCCGUGGCGGCGGCAGGCAGGAGACGAGCUCCGACUCCGACCCCUUCUUCUGCUUCCUCUACCUCUCCAUCGCGCUGGCGUGCUUCCUCCUCGUCAUGAUCGUGGUGCAGAAGCAGGAGUACAAGAUCUACCGGGAGCGCCAGCUCGACGCGGCCGACCCGCCGCCGCCGACCAUCAUCUCCGCGUCGGCAACGGACGCCAGCAAGAAAACAGAGCAGCAGCCGGCGCCGGCGCCGCCGCCGACGACGUCGUCGUUCUGUGGGUGCGUGAGGACCAUGUUCCGUCCGCCGGCUCGUGGGGAGGACUACACGAUCCUGCAGGCGCUGGUGAGCGUGGACAUGCUGGUGCUGUUCGUGGCGACAAUCUGCGGCGUGGGCGGGACGCUGACGGCGAUCGACAACAUGGGGCAGAUCGGCGAGUCGCUGGGCUACCCCGCCAGGAGCGUCAACACGUUCGUGUCCCUGAUCAGCAUCUGGAACUACGCGGGGCGCGUGACGGCGGGCUACGCCUCGGAGGCGGCGCUGGCCCGGUACCGCGUGCCGCGGCCGCUGCUGCUGACGUGCGUGCUGGCGCUGGCGUGCGCGGGGCACGUGCUGAUCGCGCUGGGCGCGCCGCGGUCCCUGUACGCGGCGUCGGUGGUCGUCGGGUUCUGCUUCGGCGCGCAGUGGCCGCUGGUGUUCGCCAUCAUCUCGGAGGUGUUCGGGCUCAAGUACUACUCCACGCUCUACAACUUGGGCGGCAUGGCCAGCCCCGUGGGCUCCUACAUCCUGAACGUGCGCGUGGCGGGGCGGCUCUACGACGCGGCGGCCGCGCAGCAGCGCGGCCGCGGCAGGAUCUGCCUCGGGGUGGAGUGCUACCGGCGGUCGUUCCUGAUCGUCACGGCGGCCACGGUGGUCGGCGCGCUGGUGUCGCUGGUGCUGGUGUGGCGGACGUGGACGUUCUACAGGGGCGACAUAUACGCGAGGUUCCGGGACGGAGACGAGGGCCCGGGGCGGGACGGGCGCCUGCCGGUCGACCAGAAACGGGAGGAGGAGGAGAGGGAGAAGGCGGCGGCCAACGGCAGGAAGGCGUGAGGUGGUGAGCGGGAGCGGGAAGGCAUGGUCAGGGACGACGACGGGUGGGGUGUACAUGUACAUGUGAAUAUAGUACUUUUUUGUUGCAUUCACCCGUGAUGACCGACCCUUGUUACCUUUCAAAUUUAAAUAGCCUAAAAAAAGCCUUCUUGUCCGUUUCCACUGCCGUCCAGUCCAAUCCAUGGUGCCUGCUGGGCAACUGGCAAGGGAUGGCGCCGUGCAACUCCUACCGAGGGGAAGCUGUGGCGCAGGCAAGUGAUGUCUGUCGUUUGUCGAUGGUAAAUAAAAGUCACGGGCCCGUGUCCUACCGAGC
rnacentral:misc_RNA from 1 species